rnacentral:rRNA from 1 species
UACGUAGGUGGCAAGCGUUGUUCGGAAUUACUGGGCGUAAAGCGCGUGUAGGCGGCCCUGCAAGUCGGAUGUGAAAUCCCACGGCUCAACCGUGGAAGUGCAUUCGAAACUGCAGGGCUAGAGUCCUGGAGAGGAAGGUGGAAUGCUUGGUGUAGGGGUGAAAUUCGUAGAUAUCAAGCGGAACACCGGUGGCGAAGGCGGCCUUCUGGACAGUGACUGACGCUGAGACGCGAAAGCGUGGGGAGCAAACAGG